AUAAUGACUCUCGGCAACGGAUAUCUCGGCUCUCGCAUCGAUGAAGAACGUAGCGAAAUGCGAUACUUGGUGUGAAUUGCAAAAUCCCGUGAACCAUCGAGUCUUUGAACGCAAGUUGCGCCCGAAGCCUUCUGGCCGAGGGCACGUCUGCCUGGGCGUCACGCA
rnacentral:rRNA from 1 species